GAUGAACGCUGGCGGCGUGCUUAACACAUGCAAGUCGAGCGAAGCGAUUUUAAGGAAGCUUUCGGGUGGAAUUAAAAUUGACUGAGCGGCGGACGGGUGAGUAACGCGUGGGUAACCUGCCUCAUACAGGGGGAUAACAGUUAGAAAUGACUGCUAAUACCGCAUAAGCGCACAGUGCUGCAUAGCACAGUGUGAAAAACUCCGGUGGUAUGAGAUGGACCCGCGUCUGAUUAGGUAGUUGGUAGGGUAACGGCCUACCAAGCCGACGAUCAGUAGCCGACCUGAGAGGGUGACCGGCCACAUUGGGACUGAGACACGGCCCAAACUCCUACGGGAGGCAGCAGUGGGGAAUAUUGGACAAUGGGGGAAACCCUGAUCCAGCGACGCCGCGUGAGUGAAGAAGUAUUUCGGUAUGUAAAGCUCUAUCAGCAGGGAAGAAAAUGACGGUACCUGACUAAGAAGCCCCGGCUAACUACGUGCCAGCCGCCGCCGUAA
rnacentral:rRNA from 1 species